rnacentral:rRNA from 1 species
UACGUAGGGUGCAAGCGUUAUCCGGAUUUAUUGGGCGUAAAGGGUUUCGUAGGCUUUUUUAUAAGUUAUCUUUCAAAGACCGAGGCUCAACUUCGGAACGGGAGAUAAUACUGUAAGAAUAGGAUUACUUAGGGGUUACUGGAACUAUCCAUGUAGGGGUGAAAUCCGUUGAUAUGGAUAGGAACACCAAGGGCGAAGGCAGGUAACUGGGAGUAUAUCGACGCUAAGGAACGAAAGCUAGGGGAGCAAACAGG